UACGUAGGGGCAAGCGUUGUCCGGAUUAUUGGGCGUAAAGCGCGCGUAGGCGGCAAGGUAUGUCGUGCGUGAAAUCUCCCGGCUUAACUGGGAGGGCCGUGCGAAACUGCCUGGCUUGAGGUCGGAAGGGGAAAGUGGAAUUCCGGGGUGGUAGUGGUGGAAUGCGUAGAGAUCCGGAGGAACACCAGCGGCGAAGGCGGCGGUCCUGGACUGGACCUGACGCUCAGGAGCGAAAGCGUGGGGAGCGAUCCGG
rnacentral:rRNA from 1 species